UACGAAGGGGGCUAGCGUUGUUCGGAAUUACUGGGCGUAAAGCGCGCGCAGGCGGCUAUCCAAGUCAGUGGUGAAAGCCCGGAGCUCAACUCCGGAACUGCCAUUGAAACUGUUUAGCUUGAGGACGAGAGAGGUGAGUGGAAUUCCCAGUGUAGAGGUGAAAUUCGUAGAUAUUGGGAAGAACACCAGUGGCGAAGGCGGCUCACUGGCUCGUUUCUGACGCUCAUGCACGAAAGCGUGGGGAGCAAACAGG
rnacentral:rRNA from 1 species